rnacentral:rRNA from 1 species
GAUGAACGCUAGCUACAGGCUUAACACAUGCAAGUCGAGGGACCGGCGCACGGGUGAGUAACACGUAUCCAACCUGCCCUUUACUCGGGGAUAGCCUUUCGCAAGAAAGAUUAAUACCCGAUAUAAAGGUUGGGGAUGCGUUCCAUUAGGUUGUUGGUGAGGUAACGGCUCACCAAGCCUUCGAUGGAUAGGGUUUCUGAGAGGAAGGUCCCCCACAUAGGAAUUGGGACACGGUCUAAACUACUACGCUAGGCAGCAGUGAGGAAGAUUGGUCACUGGGCGCUAGCCUUAUCCAGCCAAGUGGCGUGAAGGAUGAGGGCUUAGGGGUCGUAAACUUCUUUUAUCUAAGGAUAUUUCUUAUAUGAAUAAGGAUCGGCUUACUCCGUGCCAGCAGCCGCGGUAAGAC